rnacentral:rRNA from 1 species
GAUGAACGCUGGCGGCGUGCCUAAUACAUGCAAGUCGAGCGGUAAGGCCCUUCGGGGUACACGAGCGGCGGACGGCAGAGUAACACGUAGGAACGUACCCCAAAGUGAGGGAUAGCCCGCCGAAAGGUGGAUUAAUACCGCAUGUGGUCUUCGGAUUAAAGCAGCAAUGCGCUUUGGGAACGGCCUGCGUAAGAUUAGCUAGUUGGUGAGGUAACGGCUCACCAAGGCGACGAUCUUUAGCUGGUCUGUGAGGAUGAUCAGCCCGACUGGGACUGAGACACGGCCCAGACUCCUACGGGAGGCAGCAGUAGGGAAUUUUCCACAAUGGGCGAAAGCCUGAUGGAGCAACGCCGCGUGCAGGAUGAAGGCCUUCGGGUUGUAAACUGCUUUUGUCUGAGAAGAAUAUGACGGUAACAGACGAAUAAGGGUCUGCUAACUACGUGCCAGCCGCCGCUGUAA